rnacentral:rRNA from 1 species
UGAUCCUGGCUCAGAUUGAACGCUGCGCAGGCCUAACACAUGCAAGUCGAGGGCAGGGAAAGUGCUUGCUACUUGCCGGCGAGCGGCGGACGGGUGAGUAAUGUCUGGGGAUCUGCCUGAUGGAGGGGGAUAACUACUGGAAACGGUAGCUAAUACCGCAUAACGUCGCAAGACCAAAGCGGGGGACCUUCGGGCCUCGCGCCAUCAGAUGAACCCAGAUGGGAUUAGCUAGUAGGUGGGGUAAUGGCUCACCUAGGCGACGAUCCCUAGCUGGUCUGAGAGGAUGACCAGCCACACUGGAACUGAGACAGGUCCAGACUCCUACGGGAGGCAGCAGUGGGGAAUAUUGCACAAUGGGGGAAACCCUGAUGCAGCCAUGCCGCGUGUAUGAAGAAGGCCUUCGGGUUGUAAAGUACUUUCAGCGAGGAGGAAGGCGGUAAGGUUAAUAACCUUACGAUUGACGUUACUCGCAGAAGAAGCACCGGCUAACUCCGUGCCAGCAGCCGCGGUAAUACGGAGGGUGCAAGCGUUAAUCGGAAUUACUGGGCGUAAAGGCACGCAGGCGGUUUGUUAAGUCAGAUGUGAAAUCCCCGAGCUUAACUUGGGAACUGCAUUUGAAACUGCAAGCUAGAGUCUUGUAGAGGGGGGUAGAAUUCCAGGUGUAGCGGUGAAAGCGUAGAGUCUGGAGGAAUACCGGGGAAGGGCCCC